GUUAACUCAGCUGGUUAGAGUGUGGUGCUGAUAACACCAAGGUCCUGUGUUCAAUCCCCUUAAGGGUCACCU